AUUUCUAGAGUCUGCUGACAAGCAUGGGAGAUGGGCUUUAUGAGGCAGAAUGAAUCACUAUCUGAUGGCAAUAGAAAGUUGUGGGUGAACUGUAAGGGGCUGGGAGAUACCCCUGAUCCCCUGAUCCCCUGAUCCGAUUUGUGUCUUGGCAAUGUGGUAUUGAAGAAGCUGACCUUUGAAUUUACAGAACAUCCUCAACAUAUACUUUGUUUCAGCAUAAAGUUCCAUAACCUUAUUAUAUAGUAAGUUCUGAUUAUGUGAAAACAGAAUAAGGGAGCUGUACAAUAUCCUGAUAAGAUUCCAUCCUGUGAAGUCAGUGUGGACCAGCUUUAAUAUGCAGAACCUGGAGAAGACUCUUUAUUGGAAGGAGUGUGUUUAGUGUCAGAGGACAUUAAAAGGCACCCUGUGAAGAGGGAGUCCUGGGAGAAAGGAAUGAGAAGCUAAGGAAUGUUCUCUCUGGGACACUACCUCACUAUGUUUUUUCACAGACACAAUUUGCCAAAAUUGCCUGACUUUAAAGCCUGGUUGAAGGAG